UACGUAGGGACCAAGCGUUGUUCGGAUUUACUGGGCGUAAAGGGCGCGUAGGCGGCAAUUCAAGUCAUCUGUGAAAUCUCCGGGCUUAACCCGGAACGGUCAGGUGAUACUGUUUUGCUAGAGUGCGGAAGGGGCAAUCGGAAUUCUCGGUGUAGCGGUGAAAUGCGUAGAUAUCGGGAGGAACACCUGUGGCGAAAGCGGCUCACUGGACCACAACUGACGCUGAGGCGCGAAAGCUAGGGGAGCAAACAGG
rnacentral:rRNA from 1 species